rnacentral:rRNA from 1 species
AGUGAACGCUGGCGGUAGACCUAACACAUGCAAGUCGAACGGCAGCACAGUAAGAGCUUGCUCUUACGGGUGGCGAGUGGCGGACGGGUGAGGAAUACAUCGGAAUCUACUUUUUCGUGGGUGAUAACGUCGGGAAACUUACGCUAAUACCGCAUACGACCUACGGGUGAAAGCAGGGGAUCUUCGGACCUUUCGCGAUUGAAUGAGCCGAUGUCGGAUUAGCUAGUUGGCGGGGUAAAGGCCCACCAAGGCGACGAUGCGUAGCUGGUCUGAGAGGAUGAUCAGACACACGGGAACUGAGACACGGUCCAGACUCCUACGGGAGGCAGCAGUGGGGAAUAUUGGACAAUGGGGGAAAGCCGGAUCCAGCCAUACCGCGUGGGUGAAGAAGGCCGUCGGGUUGUAAAGCCCUUUUGUUGGGAAAGAAAAGCAGCAGGUUAAUACCCCGCUGUUCUGACGGUACCCAAAGAAUAAGCACCGGCUAACUUCGUG